rnacentral:tRNA from 1 species
GCCAUGAUGGCACAAUGAUUAAGUCCUUGGCUGCUAACCAAAAGGUCGGUGGUUCGAACCCACCUAGCGGCU